UUUACUCCCACAGAAUAGGGAAAAAGUCACUACUGAGAUCUGUGUUUUCUACUAACUUCUACCACUAUGCCAACACCUGAAAUUAUUUGACUAAAAAGGGACCUGUAAUCCAGUUAUCCUAAUGUUUCUUACCAUUUUCUCUGCUACUUCUGACCAAGACAGCCUUAAUUUUCCCCUCAGCUUGACUAAACUUUGGACAAGUUUCUCUCUGACUGUAAGCCCCCUUUCUUUUCCUAGAACAUUUACUUUAGAAAACUUGCAGUAGUAAAUUAUUCCUCUGCUUCUUUGAAAUAUAGACAAUCUUCUCCCGGCCUCUUACCAGUUUUACAACUCAGAAAUGUCUUUCUCAAGGAUCUGCCAUCUCUUUGAAAUGCAAUUAUUAAUAAAGACAGUACCCCUGUUUCCCAGUGGAGGGGGAAGUAGCAGCCUAACUUUGUAAGUGCCUAUUAGCAAACACAGAUGGCUUAACCACAGAGAAAAACAUCUGUAAAAUCAAGAAUGACUCAAUGUGCUAGACAGAUCCUAUUGACCACCCUACCCCUCAAUGUCCUCCAGUACUUUUUCACUAACUCAGUCCUGCUUCCAAAAUCCCUCUUGCCUUGUGUUUCAUUGGAGUUGAAUUCAGUCUCUCUCCUCUAUUGCAAUAGUCUUAAAUAAAAUCUUCUUGCCUGUUCAACUCUGGUGCAAUUUUUCUUUGACAAUUUGCUCCUUCCUAAGUGAGUUCUACAGCUCAUCAUUAAAAUAACACCCUUGCUGGAGUUCCUAUCAUGGCUCAGGAGUAACAAACCCAACCAGUAUCCAUGAGGAUGCAGGUUUGAUCCCUGGCCUCACUCAGUGACUUAAGGAUCUGGUGUUGCAAUGAGCUGUGGUAUAUGGUCACAGAUGUGGUUCAGACCCCAUGUUGCUGUGGCUGUGUCAUAGCCUAGUAGAUGUAGCUCUGAUUCGAACACAAACCUGGGAACUUACAUAUGCCACACCUAUUACUCUAAAAAAUAAAAAUAAAAAAAUAAAAGACAAAAAAUAAAAUAAAAUGAAAAUAAAAUAACAUCCUUGCCAAUAUCCUCAACUCAUUUUCUCUUCUUGUUCCCAAACCCAAAAUCCAGUUAAUCAGCCUCUUCAGUGCUUUUGUUGGAGAAAAACACACAGCCAGCUGCCUCAGUUCACUCUCUGACUUCUGACUUCAAGUCCUAGAACAUUAUUUCAUCCCCUUUCUUGCCUUAAAUGCCCCACACCUCCUUACCUGCAUUCAUUUUCAUCAGAUGACAUCAUUUCCUAUUCUACAGAGAAAGUAGAAGCAACUGGAAAAAGUCUCCACCAGCACCCACCUCCAUAUUCAUCUAAACACCUGUGUCCAGGACUUUAUACUCUGCCUUCCCUGGUGUUAUUGUUGACAAGCUGUUCCCAGAGAUCAGACAACCCUUCCACUGGGUCCUAAAUCCCAUUCUCUCUCAUUUUUACUCAAGAACACAGCUGUUAAAACUCUCAUUGCUCUUCCCUGUGUUACCAAUUUUCACUACUCAAACAGUCCCAUCAUCCUGCAACAUUUUGUAGGUAUUCCUCCUAUUUUUUUGGCCAAGCAGAAGUUUCCUGGACAGGCACUGAAACUGUGCCACAGCAGUAACCAGAGCCACAGCAGGGACAACACCAGAUCCUUAAUCUGCUAAGCUGCCAGGGAAUUCGGAUAUCUUUAAAUAAUUAAUAAUAAUAAUACUAUUAUCCCACCCCCUUUUGAACUUCUUAUAUUCAGACUUUAGCUCCCUUCCCCAACACAGUUAUUGUCUAGGCCACAAAUAAACUUUUAAAGUCAAUUCUAAGUAAUCAAUAUAUUUGACUUAUCAGCAAUAUUUGGCACAGUCAACAAUUCCCAUGCUUUCUUCACAUGGCUUAGAGAACACCAAUCUAUUUAAUUUUCCUCUUAAAUAGCCAAUCCUUCUUCCUCAACAUCCUUAACUGGCUCUUUCCAUAUUUAUACUCCUUAGUUAGUGUGACUGGAGGUUUAAUUCUCUUUUUUCCUUAAUUGAAUUUACACCUUAGGGGAUCUCAUUUAGUUUAACAGCAUAAAUACCAUCUAGACAAAAACUAUGCUCUAAUUUUUAUCUCCAGAUCAUACUUCUCCACUGAAUUCAGAGGAUUUAUCCAACUACUCACCAGAUAUUACCAUUUUAGGCUGUCCAAUGGAAAUCUUAAGCAUAACAUGCCCAAAUCCAGACCCCCUGAUUUUCACCCCAGAAGAAGAGCUUCAAGGUCUUCACCAUCUCUGUCCACGUCCAUAUCAGUAUCACCCUUACAUUUUCUAGGAAAAGAAGGGAUGAAGAGUGAGGUGAGGUUGUGAAGUGGGAAUUCACUUUAAUUCCUGUCAUUUUCUGUCUCACAGGAUGAUGCUUUACAGAUGUAAGAUGUUAUAACUUUGUACAAAAUACACCAAUAGCUUCCUGCCCUAUUUAAAGUGAAAGUCAAAGGCCUUGAAAUGGCCUACAAGGUAGUGUCUGGUCUGGUGUUUGUUACAUCCCUGAGCUCAGCUCCUACUGCUUCCACUCUAUCCACACUGGCCCUCUUCUGUGCCGUAAAUAAGAUGUAUAUGUUCCUGCCUCAGAAUGUUUGGACUUGCAUUUAUUUUGUGUGAACACUCUUCUUGCAGAUUUCAUGGCUCACUCUCUCAUCUUCACUUUUCCCCUGACCAUCCUAUUUCUAUCCCUAUACCACUCCAACACUCUGUCUUCCUCCCUGCUUAACUUUACUCCAGAACUUUUCCUACCAUCUGAUAUAGCAUAUGUUUAUCUAUGUAUGUGUUUAUCAUGUUUGUCUUAGUUUAACAUAAGCCUUGCGAGAAUAGAUUUUUGUUUUCUUGGUAUCUAGAAAAAUGUCUGGCAUCUAAAUAUGUGAGGAGGAAGGAAGGAAAGAAGGAAACUAAUUUCAAUUCUGUACAGUUAAGAAUUCUAUUUAUUAAGAAUCACUCAUCUAUGCAGUAAUUAUUAGAAUGCUUGUCUUCUUGACAUUCUUUUGGAAAUGUCGUUGUGUAUUUGUCAACUCUUAGAACAUGGGUAAAAGAAAAGAUAGAGCCUUAGCUUUAACAUAAAAUCCCAGGAACAGAUAUAAAAUCACUGCAUCCUCUUUCUCCCACUAAUGCUGCCCUUACAACUUAAUUUGAUUUCAAAUCCCUAUCCCCUCACCCCUGUAUAACUGUUAGAAACAGUUCUAUUCCUAGAAACUAUGUGAAUGCACUAUCAUUCUCUGUUAAAACUCUCAGCUACUAAGAAUUAGGCCAGCUGCUCAGAUUGAGUUUAUCACAAGAUCUAAUUUUUACUAUAGUCUCCCUGGCUAAGGAUCUGCUCCUCAGGGUUGAUGGUUGUACAUCUUGAAGUCAUUUAAUUAAAAUCAUAAACAACUUCAAGAAGAGAAUGAUUUUUAGAGUAAAGGCACAAUUUGGUAAUGUGCCUAUAUUAUAAUAAUGAUUGUAUCUUUUUGUUCUUCAGGAAACAUGCUUAACCUCUAAUAUCUCCUCCAUAAUCACCUUCUAUUAAGGACUGGGAUGUUAAACUCCUGACUUAAAAUACCUAAAAUGGUUCUCUAUUACUUUGCAGAUUAAGUCCAUAAUUAUUAUGGUUAUACAAUUAUUAUUACUUUUUUUUUUUUUUGGUCUUUUUAGGGCCAUACCCAUGGCAUGUGGAAGUUUCCAGGCUAGGGGUCAAAUUGGAGUUGUAGCUGCCAGCCCACACGUCAGCCACAGCAAUGUGGGAUCCGAGCCAAGUCUGCAACCUACACCACAGCUUACAGCAAUGCCGGAUCCUUAACCCACUGAGCAAGGCCAGGGAUCAAAACUGCAUCCUCAUGGAUGCUAGUCAUAUUCAUUUCCCCUGAGCCAUAAGGGGAACUCCAGUCAUACAAUUAUUAAUAAAUAUCCAAUCAUAAGAACAACUUGAUUUUCUUAUAAUUCAACUUAACUUCUGUCUCCAUUUUGUCAUUGUGAGUGAAAAUCUAUCUCUUUUAGGGUCAUCUAUAUAUUUAUUUUUAUCUGCUAAAAUAACAUUACUUUUUACUACCAUUUAAUGCAGUCCCUACUCCCCACAUAUGCCACAUGCCUCCCAGGGAUUUGCUACAGUACUAGGGUCUUAAGUUGUCAAGGCAAGAGUUGAGGGAAAAGGACCAUGUGGUCCUUAGGUGUGCUCUAAGAAUUGGAAAGUGAGAUAUACUUCAUCUCGUUGGUUUGGCUAUUUUGAGUCCAACAGCUGGGCACUCUCCUGUGCCACAUGGAACAGGGAAUACUUUGGAGAAAGUGUCUAGGGCUUUAUCUUUUUAGAUACACUGCACAUUCUCUGAGGACCUUCUAGUUCCCCUCUGAGAUGCUGGGAGGCUGUCCUGUUCACAAGACCCAGCCGCCAGCAUCUCUUUCUGUCUCCUCAUCUAUCUCUCUUACUUUUUUCUCCCUCCCUGUCUCUAUCUAUCUUUCUCUACCUUCCCUUCUCUCCACAGUUCAAGGGAUCUCUUUUUCAUUGUAGAGGGUGUAGAUGGGAGCCUUGUACUGCUCUCUAAUUUCCUCAACACACACUGUUUAUCCCAGGAAUCCUCUUCUUAUUUGAUAAAUCCAGACUCUAGAAAUAAACGUUAUGAGGACUUGUAAGUCUUGACCUGUUAUCUCUGCCACAUCCCUCACCAAAACCAAUGAGCCCAGAGCCCACUAGCUUCUUGAAAGGAGAGGCAAGUAACUGGGGUGGGAAGAAGGAUUGUGAUUAAAUGUCACUAACAUAACAUUCAUCACUGGAGUCCCACUUCGUCUCCUCCCUCAUACACAUUCUCUCUACCUUCCUGUAACAUCAGAUGGUGCAUAGCUUCCUAACUGCACUCAUCAUUCAUAUGUCCCAGCCUUUGGACAUGUAUUUGUCCUCUAUCUUCUCUGAAUGGCUCUUCGUGUGCAAACAGAAUGGAUGCAUGGAGUUCCCAUUUUGGCUCAAUGGAAACAGAUCUGACUAGCAUCCAUGAGGAUGCAGUUUCAAUCUCCAGCAUCACUCAGUGGGUUAAGGAUCGGGCCUUGCUGUGAGCUGUGAUGUAGGUCAGAGAUGUGGCUCAGAUCCUGUGUUGCUGUGGCUCUGGCAUAGGCCAGCAGCUACAGCUCUGAUUCGACCCCAGCCUGGGAACCUCCAUAUGCCUC
rnacentral:lncRNA from 1 species